AUGAGCGGCCCCAACCCCGCCCCGGUCCGCCCGCCCCGCCCUGCCCUCCCUCCUGCCCGAGGCUCCCGGACCCGCGCUGGGGCCGGCGCUCAGGGAGCCAGCGAGCGGGCAGGCGGCCGGGCGGCGCCGGGCGGGAGGCGAGGUAGAAAGUUUCUCUGCUCGCCUCAUCUAGCGAGCCGGAGCCGAGAGCAAUCUCGGGACCCGCCCGGCCAGCGCGAGAAGAGAGACGGGAGCACAUCGCCAAACACACUGGAAAAGAAAAGAAAAGAAAAAAACCUGAAGUCAGCCCCAGGAGCAGGGACAGAUAAGGUUUGAACAGGACUGGGAGGUCAAUGAGAGGGUAAAUUUCCUUCUUCCCAAGGUGACCAGUUGGCUCCAAUGAAGUCCAAGAGAUGGAAGUUUGGGUUGAAAACAGACUUGGAUUCUAGUUUUACAGACUUGGCUUCCAGUCUGCAGGUAUGGGACCCCAGCUGAAGUCACCUAUCCUCCCCACUGAGCUUGACCAGUAAAGCCUGAGCCCUCUGGGAGCUGAUUUCAUUAAAAAUAUGUAUUGUGUACUCAGCACUGUUCACCAUACCAUGUGAGAUACAAGGAAGCUUUGGGGUGCCAUCCCAGCCUUUAAGGAAGUUUAAAGACCCUAAGAUUCUGAAAAACUCAGUAAUGCAAGAGCUGUCUGCAGGCUCUACAGGCUGAGUGCCAAGUGAGCUGAGUAGCAGCUCUGGGCCCAGAGUGGGGGGCUUCCGGUGGUCAGUGGGGCUUCUCACAGUAGAGAGAAAAGAGCCAGGUCUGGAAACGAAGUCUUCCUUUCAAAGGAAGCUGAGGUUGGGACUUCCCAGUGGUGAAGACUCCAUGCUCCUAAUGCAGAGUGCAUGGGUUCGAUCCCUGGUUAGGGAACUAAGAUCCCGCAUGCUGCAUGUUGCAGCCUUAAAAAAAAAAGGAAAAAAGAAAAGGAAGCUGAGGUUUCACAACCACAUUCAAGUUCUUUGUGAGAGGACUUGUCCCCUCCUUCUCAGCACUCAAUGCUUGCACGUGGUGUACCCUGAGGACCAUGUGGAUGAAUAAUAGUGAGUGUGAAGUUUGCUAAGUCCCACAGAUGGAACUGAACAUAAGAACGCAAAGGUGUGGUUCCCAAGAUUAGCAAUUGUCCUGGGCUGGUGAUGCAGGCAAAGCUCCAGUCCCAGCCCAGCAGCUACCAGCUAUUCCAGCUAUUCCUGGAGGCCAGCCAGCCCUGCCACCCACGGCUGAGGCUCUGCCUUCUCGGC
rnacentral:lncRNA from 1 species